UACGGAGGGUGCAAGCGUUAUCCGGAUUCACUGGGUUUAAAGGGUGCGUAGGUGGGUGGUAAGUCAGUGGUGAAAUCUCCGAGCUUAACUUGGAAACUGCCAUUGAUACUAUCAGUCUUGAAUACCGUGGAGGUCAGCGGAAUAUGUCAUGUAGCGGUGAAAUGCUUAGAUAUGACAUAGAACACCAAUUGCGAAGGCAGCUGACUACGCGAAUAUUGACACUGAU
rnacentral:rRNA from 1 species